CCUGUUCGAGCGUCAUUAUAACCCCUCAAGCUCAGCUUGGUGUUGGGGCCUGCCAUCUGGCAGCCCUUAAAAUCAGUGGCGGUGCAUCUGGCUCUAAGCGUAGUAAUUUUUCUCGCUACAGAGUUCUGAUGGAUGCUUGCUCAUCCAAUCCCAUUUUUAUGGUUGACCUCGGAUCAGGUAGGGAUACCCGCUGAACUUAA
rnacentral:misc_RNA from 1 species